UACGUAGGUGGCAAGCGUUGUCCGGAUUUACUGGGCGUAAAGAGCGCGCAGGCGGUUGAAUCAGUCGGAUGUGAAAGCCCCCGGCUCAACUGGGGAGGGUCAUUCGAUACUGUUCGACUCGAAGGCAGGAGAGGGAAGCGGAAUUCCCGGUGUAGUGGUGAAAUGCGUAGAUAUCGGGAGGAACACCAGUGGCGAAGGCGGCUUUCUGGCCUGUUCUUGACGCUGAGGCGCGAAAGCCAGGGGAGCAAACGGG
rnacentral:rRNA from 1 species